UACGUAGGGGGGCGAGCGUUGUCCGGAUUUAUUGGGCGUAAAGAGCGUGUAGGCGGCCAGGUAGGUCCGUUGUGAAAACUCGAGGCUCAACCUCGAGACGUCGGCGGAAACCCUCUGGCUAGAGUCCGGAAGAGGAGAGUGGAAUUCCUGGUGUAGCGGUGAAAUGCGCAGAUAUCAGGAAGAACACCCGUGGCGAAGGCGGCUCUCUGGGACGGUACUGACGCUGAGACGCGAAAGCGUGGGAGCAAACAGG
rnacentral:rRNA from 1 species